UACGGGGGGAGCAAGCGUUGUUCGGAUUUACUGGGCGUAAAGGGCGCGUAGGCGGUCAGCACAAGUCAGUUGUGAAAUCUCCGGGCUUAACUCGGAAAGGUCAACUGAUACUGUGCGACUAGAGUGCGGAAGGGGCAACUGGAAUUCUCGGUGUAGCGGUGAAAUGCGUAGAUAUCGAGAGGAACACCUGCGGCGAAGGCGGGUUGCUGGGCCGGCACUGACGCUGAUGCGCGAAAGCGUGGGGAGCAAACGGG
rnacentral:rRNA from 1 species